rnacentral:rRNA from 1 species
GCAACAUUAUUGGAUGAGUUGUGAUUAGGGGUGAAAGGCCAAUCAAACUUGGAAAUAGCUGGUUCUCCGCGAAAUCUAUUUAGGUAGAGCGUUGUAUGUAUGUUGUUGGGGGUAGAGCACUGGAUAGACUAGGGGGAUUCAUCAUCUUACCAAAUCUAACCAAACUCCGAAUACCAACAAUUGAUUAUACAGCAGACACACUACGGGUGCUAAGUCCGUGGUGGAAAGGGAAACAGCCCAGAUCACUAUCUAAGGUCCCAAAAUUACAGCUAAGUGGGGAAGGAAGUAGAAAAA